rnacentral:rRNA from 1 species
GAUGAACGCUGACAGAAUGCUUAACACAUGCAAGUCUUUGGCGAAGCUGUGCUUGCACAGCCUAGCCAAGGCGGACGGGUGAGUAACGCGUAAGGAACUUGCCCUGCAGUCAGGGAUAACAGACGGAAACGACUGAUAAGACCUGGUAAAGUCAGGCGGACUCAUGUCCAGCCUGAUGAAAAGAGAUGCUGCAGGAGAGCCUUGCGCCCUAUUAGCUUGUUGGUGGGGUAACGGCCCACCAAGGCGAUGAUAGGUAGCCGGCCUGAGAGGGUGGACGGCCACAAGGGGACUGAGAUACGGCCCUUACUCCUACGGGAGGCAGCAGUGGGGAAUAUUGGACAAUGGGGGCAACCCUGAUCCAGCAAUUCUGUGUGCACGAUGAAGGUUUUCGGAUUGUAAAGUGCUUUCAGCAGGGAAGAAAAAAAUGACGGUACCUGCAGAAGAAGCGACGGCUAAAUACGUG